rnacentral:rRNA from 1 species
GACGAACGCUGGCGGCGUGCUUAACACAUGCAAGUCGAACGGUGAAGCGCCUUCCUUUUUGGUGGGUGUGGAUGAGUGGCGAACGGGUGAGUAACACGUGAGUAACCUGCCCCCUUCUUCUGGAUAACCGCAUGAAAGUGUGGCUAAUACGGGAUAUUCUGGUUCUGUCGCAUGAUGGGUCUGGGAAAGAGAUUGUUUCGGUGGGGGAGGGGCUCGCGGCCUAUCAGCUUGUUGGUGGGGUGAUGGCCUACCAAGGCGGUGACGGGUAGACGGCCUGAGAGGGUGGACGGUCACACUGGGACUGAGACCCGGCCCAGACUCCUACGGGGGGCAGCAGUGGGGAAUAUUGCACAGUGGGCGAAAGCGUGAUGCAGCGACGCCGCGUGAGGGAUGGAGGCCUGCGGGUUGUGAACCUCUUUCGCCAGUGAAGCAGGCCUGCCUCGUUUGUGGGUGGGUUGACGGUAGCUGGAUAAGAAGCACCGGCUAACUACGUG